rnacentral:rRNA from 1 species
GACGAACGCUGUCGGCGUGCUUAACACAUGCAAGUCGAGCGGUAAGGCCCUUUCGGGGGUACACGAGCGGCGAACGGGUGAGUAACACGUGGGUGACCUGCCCUCAGCUCUGGGAUAAGCCUGGGAAACCGGGUCUAAUACCGGAUAUGACUCCAUGACGCAUGUUGUGGGGUGGAAAGCCUUGUGCGGCUGAGGAUGGGCCCGCGGCCUAUCAGCUUGUUGGUGGGGUGANGGCCUACCAAGGCGACGACGGGUAGCCGGCCUGAGAGGGCGACCGGCCACACUGGGACUGAGACACGGCCCAGACUCCUACGGGAGGCAGCAGUGGGGAAUCUUGCGCAAUGGGCGAAAGCCUGACGCAGCGACGCCGCGUGAGGGAUGACGGCCU